UCUACGGGACGCAGCAGUAGGGAAUCUUCCACAAUGGGCGAAAGCCUGAUGGAGCAACGCCGCGUGGGUGAAGAAGGUCUUCGGAUCGUAAAACCCUGUUGUUAAAGAAGAAAGUGCGUGAGAGUAACUGUUCACGCAGUGACGGUAUCCAACCAGAAAGUCACGGCUAACUACGUGCCAGCAGCCGCGGUAAUACGUAGGUGGCAAGCGUUAUCCGGAUUUAUUGGGCGUAAAGCGAGCGCAGGCGGGUGCUUAGGUCUGAU
rnacentral:rRNA from 1 species